GACAGGGUGGCUUAAACAAUGGAAACUUACUUUCUCAACAAUUCUAGAGGCUAGUAGUCAUAUAUCAAAGUGUCAACAAAAUUGAUGUAUUCUGAAGCCUUUUUCCUUGGUUUGCAGGUUCAUCUUCAACACAAAAAUCUCCCUCUACACGCUGGAACUACAAGUUUUUUAAUCUGGAAGUCCAAAGAUAAUCAAUGAAGAGAGGCAAGGAGGUCUUGAUGCAGUUACCUGGUACCACUAGAUGCACUGGGCUUACACAAGCACACCAUCCUGAAGAGAGCAGAGGAAGUGUCAGUGCUGAGAAGCAAAUAUUCAACUCAGCAACACAGUGACCCUUCACAAGUAGCUGGAAUGAACACAAAGAAAAAAAGAUUCCAAAAGACUUUUUUUUGGCCCUUGAUGCCAAAAAAAGUUUAGCCUAGUAAAGAAGCUGAAAUCAGUUUAUGUGUGUUGAAUGGUAUUACUGGACUGACUUGGAAUAGUGCCACUCCAAAACACAAUGGAUAAUUAAUUGAAGAAAAAAUUGACAAGACAAAGAAGUGCAGUGGAAACAGCAUGGAAUUUGAAGCAAAAGUUUGAGAUCUGUUACUUCCAUUUAUCCAACAAAUAAUGAGAAUCUAUUAUGGAUGAAGGCACUGUUAAAAUUGCUAAAGACACAGCAGUGAUUAAGAUGACAAUCUCCCUAUUCUCGUGGGGCUUACAUUUGAGGAAUCAGAUAUUAAAUACACUAGCGAAUAAGGAAGUAGUAGUAAGUGCUAGGAAGAAAAUAAAACAGUAUUGAGAUAAAGUGACUGAUAGGGAGGUUUUAGAUUGUGUAUCAAGGAGAGGCUCUCUGAAUAACCAACAGUAGAACUGAGAUCUGAAUGCCAAGCAGGAAGUAGAUAUUUACCAACUUCAGGAAAGAAUUCCAGGGGAAAGAUCUUUUAUCCUAUCAGAAAAAGAAAAAAAUUAAACAAAACCUAGUUUAAAAAAAAAAAGGGGUAGAUGUUGGCUGAGAGAAGCAGAGGUCAAAGAUGAGUAUAGUUCAUGGCUGUCUAUUUGCUGUAGCUCUGUGAUAUUCUCAACUUGAUCUUCAUCUAUGAGACUACCUCAACUCUAAGCUUGAGGCAAGAG